rnacentral:rRNA from 1 species
UACGUAGGGACCAAGCGUUGUUCGGAUUUACUGGGCGUAAAGGGCGCGUAGGCGGCCCGCUAAGUCGAACGUGAAAUCCCCGAGCUCAACUCGGGAACUGCGUCCGAUACUGGCGGGCUUGAAUCCGGGAGAGGGAUGCGGAAUUCCAGGUGUAGCGGUGAAAUGCGUAGAUAUCUGGAGGAACACCGGUGGCGAAGGCGGCAUCCUGGACCGGCAUUGACGCUGAGGCGCGAAAGCUAGGGAAGCAAACGGGG